GCGUUCUGUAAGCCUGUGAAGGUGGCCUGUGAGGGUUGCUGGAGGUAUCAGAAGUGCGAAUGCUGACAUAAGUAACGAUAAAGCGGGUGAAAAGCCCGCUCGCCGGAAGACCAAGGGUUCCUGUCCAACGUUAAUCGGGGCAGGGUGAGUCGACCCCUAAGGCGAGGCCGAAAGGCGUAGUCGAUGGGAAACAGGUUAAUAUUCCUGUACUUGGUGUUACUGCGAAGGGGGGACGGAGAAGGCUAUGUUGGCCGGGCGACGGUUGUCCCGGUUUAAGCGUGUAGGCUGGUUUUCCAGGCAAAUCCGGAAAACCAAGGCUGAGGCGUGAUGACGAGGCACUACGGUGCUGAAGCGACAAAUGCCCUGCUUCCAGGAAAAGCCUCUAAGCAUCAGGUAACAUCAAAUCGUACCCCAAACCGACACAGGUGGUCAGGUAGAGAAUACCAAGGCGCUUGAGAGAACUCGGGUGAAGGAACUAGGCAAAAUGGUGCCGUAACUUCGGGAGAAGGCACGCUGAUAUGUAGGUGAAGCGACUUGCUCGUGGAGCUGAAAUCAGUCGAAGAUACCAGCUGGCUGCAACUGUUUAUUAAAAACACAGCACUGUGCAAACACGAAAGUGGACGUAUACGGUGUGACGCCUGCCCGGUGCCGGAAGGUUAAUUGAUGGGGUUAGCGGCAACGCGAAGCUCUUGAUCGAAGCCCCGGUAAACGGCGGCCGUAACUAUAACGGUCCUAAGGUAGCGAAAUUCCUUGUCGGGUAAGUUCCGACCUGCACGAAUGGCGUAAUGAUGGCCAGGCUGUCUCCACCCGAGACUCAGUGAAAUUGAACUCGCUGUGAAGAUGCAGUGUACCCGCGGCAAGACGGAAAGACCCCGUGAACCUUUACUAUAGCUUGACACUGAACAUUGAGCCUUGAUGUGUAGGAUAGGUGGGAGGCUUUGAAGUGUGGACGCCAGUCUGCAUGGAGCCGACCUUGAAAUACCACCCUUUAAUGUUUGAUGUUCUAACGUUGGCCCGUAAUCCGGGUUGCGGACAGUGUCUGGUGGGUAGUUUGACUGGGGCGGUCUCCUCCUAAAGAGUAACGGAGGAGCACGAAGGUUGGCUAAUCCUGGUCGGACAUCAGGAGGUUAGUGCAAUGGCAUAAGCCAGCUUGACUGCGAGCGUGACGGCGCGAGCAGGUGCGAAAGCAGGUCAUAGUGAUCCGGUGGUUCUGAAUGGAAGGGCCAUCGCUCAACGGAUAAAAGGUACUCCGGGGAUAACAGGCUGAUACCGCCCAAGAGUUCAUAUCGACGGCGGUGUUUGGCACCUCGAUGUCGGCUCAUCACAUCCUGGGGCUGAAGUAGGUCCCAAGGGUAUGGCUGUUCGCCAUUUAAAGUGGUACGCGAGCUGGGUUUAGAACGUCGUGAGACAGUUCGGUCCCUAUCUGCCGUGGGCGCUGGAGAACUGAGGGGGGCUGCUCCUAGUACGAGAGGACCGGAGUGGACGCAUCACUGGUGUUCGGGUUGUCAUGCCAAUGGCACUGCCCGGUAGCUAAAUGCGGAAGAGAUAAGUGCUGAAAGCAUCUAAGCACGAAACUUGCCCCGAGAUGAGUUCUCCCUGACUCCUUGAGAGUCCUGAAGGAACGUUGAAGACGACGACGUUGAUAGGCCGGGUGUGUAAGCGCAGCGAUGCGUUGAGCUAACCGGUACUAAUGAACCGUGAGG
rnacentral:rRNA from 1 species